rnacentral:piRNA from 1 species
UCUCAGAUUGUCAUUUGGAGACUCCCCAGU